CUGGGAGAAGAAACCUGAUGCUGCGAUGUGUUUGUGGCAGUCUCCAAAUGAAAAGAUGUGUUCAAAUUUCAACAAGUUCAGAGGAGUUUUAGAUGAUGCAAUAUGGUUCCUAAGAAACAUGUAAACUGCUACUGUUUUCAGAGGCUAGCUUUUGGAUAUCAUUUAAUAUUCUAGGCCUUUCCCUAUGGCUAGAAAGUCUGAUCAUUGUUGGCAGAAAAGAGAGUCCAAACUUAAUUCUUUAUUAUUAAUAGUCUACCCUGGAAAAAAAAU
rnacentral:lncRNA from 1 species